UGGGGAAUUUUGGACAAUGGGCGAAAGCCUGAUCCAGCAAUGCCGCGUGUGUGAAGAAGGCCUUCGGGUUGUAAAGCACUUUUGUCCGGAAAGAAAUCCUUGGCUCUAAUACAGUCGGGGGAUGACGGUACCGGAAGAAUAAGCACCGGCUAACUACGUGCCAGCAGCCGCGGUAAUACGUAGGGUGCAAGCGUUAAUCGGAAUUACUGGGCGUAAAGCGUGCGCAGGCGGUUUGCUAAGACCGAUGUGAAAUCCCCGGGCUCAACCUGGGAACUGCAUUGGUGACUGGCAGGCUAGAGUAUGGCAGAGGGGGGUAGAAUUCCACGUGUAGCAGUGAAAUGCGUAGAGAUGUGGAGGAAUACCGAUGGCGAAGGCAGCCCCCUGGGCCAAUACUGACGCUCAUGCACGAAAGCGUGGGGGAGCAAACAGGAUUAGAUACCCUGGGUAGUCCACGCCCUAAACGAUGUCAACUAGUUGUUGGGGAUUCAUUUCCUUAGUAA
rnacentral:rRNA from 1 species